rnacentral:rRNA from 1 species
GACGAACGCUGGCGGCGUGCUUAACACAUGCAAGUCGAGCGGUAAGGCCCUUUCGGGGGUACGACGAGCGGCGAACGGGUGAGUAACACGUGGGUGACCUGCCCUUAGCUCUGGGAUAAGCCUGGGAAACUGGGUCUAAUACCGGAUAUGACUCCAUGACGACAUGUUGGUGGGGUGGAAAGCCUUGUGCGGCUAGGGAUGGGCCCGCGGCCUAUCAGCUUGUUGGUGGGGUGAUGGCCUACCAAGGCGACGACGGGUAGCCGGCCUGAGAGGGCGACCGGCCACACUGGGACUGAGACACGGCCCAGACUCCUACGGGAGGCAGCAGUGGGGAAUCUUGCGCAAUGGGCGAAAGCCUGACGCAGCGACGCCGCGUGGGGAUGACGGCCUCGG